UCAGGGGACCGGGCGGCCGCGGCCCCGCACUUGUUGCGGGGGCGAGGAAAGUCCGGGCUCCACGGAACAACGGUGCCGGGUAACACCCGGCGGCCUCGGCGAGAGCCGGGGUCAGGGAAAGUGCCACAGAAAGAAUUCCGCCUGUCUUCGGGCAGGUAAGGGCGAAAGGGUGCGGUAAGAGCGCACCGCGCGGCCGGCAACGGUAUGCGGCAUGGCAAACCCCACCGGGAGCAAGACCGAAUAGGGGUGGCACAUGGGCCUGUUCCGGCUCGUCGCCCGGGUUGGUUGCUUGAGGCGGUCGGUAACGUCCGUCCUAGACGAAUGGUCGCCCAUCCCCCGCGUUCGCGGGGGUGGACAGAACCCGGCUUACAGGUCCCCUGGCACU
rnacentral:RNase_P_RNA from 1 species